rnacentral:rRNA from 1 species
UACAGAGGUCCCAAGCGUUGUUCGGAUUCACUGGGCGUAAAGGGUGCGUAGGUGGUGAGGUAAGUCGGAUGUGAAAGCUCCGAGCUCAACUCGGAAAUGGCAUUGGAAACUACCUUGCUCGAGGGUUUGAGGGGGGACUGGAAUACUUGGUGUAGCAGUGAAAUGCGUAGAUAUCAAGUAGAACACCAGUGGCGAAGGCGAGUCCCUGGAAAACUCCUGACACUGGGGCACGAAAGCUAGGGGAGCAAACAGG